AAAUAAAAAAAAACAAUAACAAAAACCAAACCCAAGGAGGAGAGAGAAGCACUGGCAAGUGCUCUCUGGAAUUCAAGCCAUAUGCCCAUGUCCCUUUCCUUUGUCCCGUUUUCUGUGAUGCUCAGGAAUCGAAGACCACUUAAAAGUGCUCUUAUGAGACCCAAUGGACACUCCUUCCUCGUGUCUCCUGUCCCCUGGUCCCUCUGGCACACUGGCUCUGACUCACACACACACAGCCCCAAGCACGGGGCAUGGCGCUGGGUGCUCUGCAGUUUGCAGCCAUGACCUUGGCUGCUGUGUUUGGAAGAGUUUUGGAAUUUUUGGGUGGCUCAAGAGUUGGCCUGGUUGAUAUUGCUAGAACUAGCUAUAUGUGUAUCGCCAUGGGAAAUUACCAAACUGUCACAAGACUUGCUGAUUAAAGAAUAGCCUGCCAGAGUGUGUGUGCCUUUGCCCAGUGUGACUCUUAGGUAUUAGGCUAAGGAAAACAGUUUAACAAAAUGUAGUGUGAAUCAUUCCUGAUAAGUGAAUAAAGCAUUGUGACCAAGCAAUCAGAUUAUUCACUUAUCAGGAAUCGACUGUACUGAGAGUUUGCCUGAUUGUUUCUGUUCCUCAUCUCUGUUGUAGUUUCACUACUUUGCUGUGUUCUGUUUUUUCUCUCAUGCUCUUAGCAAAAUCACUGGGAAUAUCCCUUCGUGUGAUCAUGAAACAUGCUACUGAGUAACAAAAAAAAAUUUAAAAUAUAAAAAUGAUAUCUUAAAAUCUAUGCACUUGCUAUCAGGAACACAAUACUGGAUGUGUCUUAUAUAUAUUGAACUAUAAUAGUAUUCGAUUUCUUAAAUAAAGCUUAAG
rnacentral:lncRNA from 7 species